rnacentral:tRNA from 1 species
GCUACGUUAGCUUCGCUGAUAGUGCGUCUGCCUUGUAAGCGCUAGGCCGCGGGUUCGAUUCCCGCCCGUGGCG